GACGAACGCUGGCGGCGUGCUUAACACAUGCAAGUCGAACGAUGAAGCCGGAGCUUGCUCCGGUGGAUUAGUGGCGAAAGGGUGAGUAACACGUGAGCAAUCUGCCCUUGACUCUGGGAUAACUGCGGGAAACUGUAGCUAAUACCGGAUACGACACCUUGGGGCAUCGCAGGGUGUGGAAAGAAUUUCGGUCAAGGAUGAGCUCGCGGGCUAUCAGCUAGUUGGUGAGGUAGUGGCUCACCAAGGCGACGACGGGUAGCUGGCCUGAGAGGGUGACCGGCCACACGGGAACUGGGACACGGGCCAGGCUCCGACGGGAUGCAGCAGUGGGGAAUAUUGCACAAUGGGCGAAAGCCUGAUGCAGCGACGCCUCGUGAGGGAUGAAGGCCUUCGGGUUGUAAACCUCUAUUAGCAGGGAAGAAGCGAAAGUGACGGUACCUGCAGAAAAAGCACCGGCUAACUACGUGCCAGCAGCCGCGGUAA
rnacentral:rRNA from 1 species